GACGAACGCUGGCGGCGUGCUUAACACAUGCAAGUCGAACGGAAAGGCCCUGCUUUUGUGGGGUGCUCGAGUGGCGAACGGGUGAGUAACACGUGAGUAACCUGCCCUUGACUUUGGGAUAACUUCAGGAAACUGGGGCUAAUACCGGAUAGGAGCUCCUGCUGCAUGGUGGGGGUUGGAAAGUUUCGGCGGUUGGUAAUGGACUCGCGGCUUAUCAGCUUGUGGGUGGGGUAGUGUCUUACCAAGGCUUGACGGGUAGCCGGCCUGAGAGGGUGACCGGCCACAAUGGGAAUGAGAUACGGCCCAGACUCCUACGGGAGGCAGCAGUGGGGAAUAUUGCAAAAUGGGCGGAAGCCUGAUGCAGGAACGCCGCGUGCGGGAUGACGGCCUUCGGGUUGUAAACCGCUUUCGCCUGUGACGAAGAGUGAGUGACGGUAAUGGGUAAAGAAGCACCGGCUAACUACGUG
rnacentral:rRNA from 1 species